rnacentral:antisense_RNA from 1 species
AUUUCAAAAUAGCAGUAUCAGUGUCAUAAUAUCACCCUUCCACUGAGUACUGCCCACAGCUGGGGAGUAAAGAAAAGUCAUUGGGACACACUGUUGUCUCCACAUGCUACUGUGUCUGUUUGCAAAUGUAGGCAGGCUGGGGUCCUGCCCCAGGGAAGACAGAGUCACAACAGAGUAAUAAAGAAGCAUGUUUGAGACACAGGAGUGUCUAUGUCUAUCCUCUUUCCUCCCUCACAGCCAUCACCAGAGCAUGUUUCUUGCACCAGGUCAACAGAGAGUAAGAGAGGCAUGAAAAGCCCAUUGUCCACACAUGUUGCAACUUGUUUUUGGAGAAUGUUUUCCAGGCCUUUUAUGUUCUGUCUCUGAUUCUCAGAACUCCGCAAGGUCAGUGUGACCACCCUGCUCCAAAUCAAAGAAAACAGAGGUUUCCAGAGGAAGGAGAAAUUGUGCCCAGGGUCACACAGCUUGCAAGAGGCAGAGUGGAAGUUGAUUCCAGCUCUGCCUGUGGGACCCUCUCAUUUCCCCUCUGUUUCCCUUCUGGACAAAGGAUCUUCUUCACUCUGGAGGUGCCACCCAUGAGAACAAAGAGCUCUGGAGAUAUGUGGAUUCCUGAAGAGCUUCAGGGGAACUGGGAGAGGGAUUUCUGACAGAACAAUCUUACCUCAAGAAGUCAGUUAGA